rnacentral:rRNA from 1 species
AAGCUGGCCACCGGAAGAGUUUGAUCCUGGCUCAGAUUGAACGCUGGCGGCAGGCCUAACACAUGCAAGUCGAGCGGAUGAGUGGAGCUUGCUCCAUGAUUCAGCGGCGGACGGGUGAGUAAUGCCUAGGAAUCUGCCUGGUAGUGGGGGACAACGUUUCGAAAGGAACGCUAAUACCGCAUACGUCCUACGGGAGAAAGUGGGGGAUCUUCGGACCUCACGCUAUCAGAUGAGCCUAGGUCGGAUUAGCUAGUUGGUGAGGUAAAGGCUCACCAAGGCGACGAUCCGUAACUGGUCUGAGAGGAUGAUCAGUCACACUGGAACUGAGACACGGUCCAGACUCCUACGGGAGGCAGCAGUGGGGAAUAUUGGACAAUGGGCGAAAGCCUGAUCCAGCCAUGCC